rnacentral:lncRNA from 1 species
AUGUGUUUCUCAGCUCCCCGCUGCGCCCAGCCUGGGCCCCGGGGCACCCUUUUAGGAGGCCGUCGCCGGGCAAGGCGACCCCCACCAGCGCCCGGGGCUCCCGGGAGCCCCUUAAAUGGCGGCCGCCGGGCUCCCGGAGGGGGCAGGCCGACGACGACCAUGCCGAGGGAAGCCGUGCUUCUGCUGGCCUGGCUGGCCUUGCUGCUGGCCCUCCCGGCCCCACUGCUGGCCUUCCCCAGCGCAGCGCCAGAUGUCACAGCUUCCUACCCGAAGGACACAACCACAGAAGUUACUGGUGAAGUGACCAUCAGUGAAAGCAGAGGCCGAAGGAGUGAAUACAGUAAGUUAGUCUUGCACUUUCUGUUAUUUCUGAAGUACCUAACUCUUGUUACUGUGAUACAUGUGCUUGCCAUAACUGCAUGAAAGACUGUAGCUCCCACUGUAUGAGAGGUUGCAGAGGCCAGAGACACAAAGACCCAGACUAUUAAAGGUGUGUAGAUUUUGCUUUAGUGACAUUUCAGGCUUUUGGGACCCAAAGCCCUGAUUUUAUAUCAGAAAACAGCGGGAAGGUGAGCUUAAACUCAAGUCAUAAAUUAAUGUUCUUUAGAUUCCUUUCCCUCUUUACCACCAGAGUCCUCUCAUACUAAUUUUGAAGGCCUUAUUCCUAUUAAAUCUUCUUCCUGCAAUAAUAUGGCCAGUAUUCCUCCAGUCUUGAACUACAUUCCUUCUGCUGUUUCAGGCCUGUCCUUCCCACACACGCCUCCCUCAGUUCCUCAUGCUUUGGUGCCCUUGCUGCAGUAUCCUCCACCUCUGAUUAUCUUCUUUCUUUUCAAUGUUUGAUUAAAAAAGCACCCCAACUUGGCAAAUCGCCACACCAACAGAAAGAGCUCUGAGUUCAGCUUUUCCAUGACCUUGAUGGUGGCUAUUCUGCUUCAUAGGAUCUCUUUUCAUGCAGUCUGCACAAAUGUUGCUCAUCUAGUUUCUAACUGUGUCUCUCCUUCCCUUUCUCUUGCAUCUCUGCUUAUGCAGCACAGAUACACAAGGUCUUUUGUGGCUUGGAUUCCCAAGUAUAGUUCACGGUUGGUCAGCAUGCUCACCAGCUGCAGUUCAUUCCUGGGGACAGCAGUGUAGCACAGAUGUGGGAAGUGAGUACCUUCUGCUGGGAUGUGUGCCCAGAGGAGACUGGCUGGAGUGUAACUUCGUCACGUGGCUUUUGUGCACUGGGCCUAAAACACUGAAAAAUCUGAGGGUUUUGGCUUCUACCAGCAACAUUACUUUUCAGUCUUCUUGUUAGCAAGUAAAAUAUUUAAUACUGUUUUCCUGAUAGUAUGGAUUUCAGGAGGGUUUGGGGUGAUGGGAGGAAAAAGUGGGCAGGUCAGCAUACCCUUGUCUUCCUCUCUGUCUUCUACAUCUGACUUGAGUU